rnacentral:rRNA from 1 species
UCUCGAAGAUUAAGCCAUGCAUGUAAAGUUCAAGCUCCGAUUAUGAGGGCGAAACCGCGAAUGGCUCAUUAAAUCAGUCAUAAUCUACUUGAUUGUUUAAAGGUUAUAUGGAUAACUGUGGUAAUUCUAGAGCUAAUACAUGCACAAAGGGAGCGACUCUAGCAAUAGAGAAGCUCUGCGUUUAUUAGACUAAGACCAAUGAUCGAGCUCCGGCGAGAUCUUGAUUAAGGUGACUCUGAAUAAAUAAUGGGUGAAAGCCCAUGUUGCUGACCUGACAUACCAAAUCAAUACGAUGUAUUGAGUCAGGCAAAUCAAUCGAGUGUCUGCUCUAUCAACUGUGGAUGGUAGGGUAAUUGCCUACCAUGGUGAUGACGGGUAACGGGGAGUUAGGGCUCGACUCCGGAGAACAAGCCUGAGAAACGGCUAGUAGGACUAAGGUCUGCAGCAGGCGCGAAACUUACACAAUGCUAGAUUAAAAUUAGCGAUGUAGUGAAGAAAAAUAACGAUGUACUUACAUUUAAACAUGUUAGUACAAUUGGAAUGAGACGACUUUAAAAGAGUGAGUCGAGUAACAAAUGGAGGGCAAGUCUGGUGCCAGCAGCCGCGGUAAUUCCAGCUCCAUUAGCAUACAUUAAAAUUGUUGCGGUUAAAAAGCUCGUAGUUGAAUUUUAGGCAAGCUCUAUUGGGAUGCGGCCGUUAAGGUUGUCACAUUGCUUACGCUUUGUCAACUGGUCGUAUUUUCCCGUUAGGAACUUGCUGUUUCGUCACUUAAUCGAGUGCGAAGCGGGCUGGUACAAAUACAUCUCUCGAGAUUAUUGUUUCAGCAUGUUUACCUUGAGAAAAUUAGAGUGCUCACAGCAGGCAGUUGGGGUAUAAAAGCCCCUUUAUGCUUGAAUAAUGUUGCAUGGAAUAAUAGAAUACGGCCUCGGUUCUAUUCUGUUGGUCUUAUAGAACAACAAACAAGUUGAUUAAAGCGAUCAAAAGUUGCACUCUAAUGUGGCACUCUUAUAUUGUUGCCUUGGGCCUCAAAACCCAUGCGCCAAGUGAGCUUGCCAUCUAAGCAUUCUAGUGUGUUAACUAGCUUCCAAUCAACUGAGGCAAUGGUUAAAAGAAAUAGUCGCGGCGGCAUCAGUACUGCAUCGUGAGAGGUGAAAUUCUUAGACCGAUGCAAGACUAACUGAAGCGAAAGCGUUUGCCGAGGAUAUUUUCAUUAAUCAAGAACGAAAGUUAGAGGUUCGAAGGCGAUCAGAUACCGCCCUAGUUCUAACCAUAAACGUUGCCAACUAGCAAUUGGGUUGCGAUUCCUUUAAUCGAGCGUGUAAAAACCUCGAUCAUUAUGAUCCACCCAGCGGCUCUCGUAGGGAAACCAAAGUUGGGUUCCGGGGGAAGUAUGAUUGCAAAGUUGAAACUUAAAGGAAUUGACGGAAGGGCACCACCAGGAGUGGAGCCUGCGGCUUAAUUUGACUCAACACGGGGAAACUUACUAGAUUAGAACUCUGGAAUGAUUGACAGAUUGAUAGCUCUUUCUUGAUUCAGAGGAUGGUGGUGCAUGGCCGUUCUUGAUUCGUACUCCGAAGCGUCUGCUUAAUUGCGAUAACGAGUGAGACCUCACCCAACUAACUAGUCGCUUGGUGCGCUCUGGGACGCUAAAGUCUUGCUUUAAAGGGAAAGGUUUCGGCCUGGAGCUCUAAAGUUAAGAUGUCCUGUGCUCGCCGGCGGACUUCUUAGAGGGAUAAACGGUGUUUUAGCCGUAAGAAACGAGGCAAUAACAGGUCUGUGAUGCCCUUAGAUAUUCUAGGCCGCACGCGUGCUACAAUGGCGUGUGCAAAAAGCUUGUUCGAGGUUUGUCUAGAGGAGAACUAAUCAUUUGGUGGCCAAUUGGGGGCAACUCUACUUGGUUAUCGGUGGAAAAGUGACUCUAGUUAGCAGGCCGAGAGAAACCGUACUCGAAAGAUUACGGCAAUCAUAAAUACACGCCGUGAUUUGGGAUUGGGGAUUGCAAUUGUUGCCCAUGAACGAGGAAUUCCCAGUAAGCGCAAUUCAUCAUAUUGCGUUGAUUACGUCCCUGCCCUUUGUACACACCGCCCGUCGCUACUACCGAUUGGAAGUUUUAGUGAGGCAUUUGGACCUGUUGUUCAUGGAGUGGGCAACCAUUCUGGAACGACGGGGAAGUCUGUCGAACUCAAAUUUCUAGAGGAAGUAAAAGUCGUAA